AACGAACGCUGGCGGCAUGCCUAACACAUGCAAGUCGAACGAGACCUUCGGGUCUAGUGGCGCACGGGUGCGUAACGCGUGGGAACCUGCCCUUAGGUUCGGAAUAACUCCCCGAAUGGGGUGCUAAUACCGGAUAAUGUCUUCUGACCAAAGAUUUAUCGCCUUUGGAUGGUCCCGCGUUGGAUUAGCUAGUUGUUAGGGUAAAAGCCUACCAAUGCGACGAUCCAUAGCUGGUCUGAGAGGAUGAUUAGCCACACUGGGACUGAGACACGGCCGAGACUACUACGGGAGGCAGCAGUGGGGAAUAUUGGACAAUGGGCGAAAGCCUGAUCCAGCAAUGACGCGAGAGUGAUGAAGGCCUUAGGGUUGUAAAGCUCUUUUACCCGGGAUGAUAAUGACAGUACCGGGAGAAUAAGCACCGGCUAACUCCGUG
rnacentral:rRNA from 1 species